AUUGAACGCUGGCGGCAGGCCUAACACAUGCAAGUCGAACGAGUGGCGGACGGGUGAGUAAUGUCUGGGAAACUGCCUGAUGGAGGGGGAUAACUACUGGAAACGGUAGCUAAUACCGCAUACCAUCAGAUGUGCCCAGAUGGGAUUAGCUUGUUGGUGGGGUAACGGCUCACCAAGGCGACGAUCCCUAGCUGGUCUGAGAGGAUGCCUAGGCAGACUGGAACUGUGAUACGGUUCAGACGCCUACGGGUGGCAGCAGUGGGGAAUAUUGCACAAUGGGCGCUAGCCUGAUGCAGCCAGGCCGCGUGUAUGAAGAAGGCCUUCGGGGUGUAAAGUACUUUCAGCGGGGAGGCGUGACCCGCAGAAGAAGGACCGGCAAUCUCCGUGCCAGCAGCGGCGGGAAUAC
rnacentral:rRNA from 1 species